rnacentral:hammerhead_ribozyme from 1 species
CCAGCUGACGAGUCCGAAAUGGGACGAAACGCGCGUCCUGG